CCGAGUUUACCAACUCCCAAACCCCGUGUGAACGUACCCACCCCGUUGCUUCGGCGGUGCCGCCCCGGGCGCGGGCCUCCCAGAGGCCGCCAGCCCCGGAACCAGGCGCCCGCCGGAGGACCCCAAACUCCACUGUAUCGCCACGGCGGCUUUCUUCUGAGUCACGCUCUCUGAGCGGCAAACAAAAUGAAUCA
rnacentral:misc_RNA from 1 species